UACGAAGGGGGCUAGCGUUGUUCGGAUUUACUGGGCGUAAAGCGCACGUAGGCGGAUCGAUCAGUCAGGGGUGAAAUCCCAGAGCUCAACUCUGGAACUGCCUUUGAUACUGUCGAUCUGGAGUAUGGAAGAAGUGAGUGGAAUUCCGAGUGUAGAGGUGAAAUUCGUAGAUAUUCGGAGGAACACCAGUGGCGAAGGCGGCUCACUGGUCCAUUACUGACGCUGAGGUGCGAAAGCGUGGGGAGCAAACAGG
rnacentral:rRNA from 1 species